GGGCAGUCCUUCAGUGGUUUCACCGUGUUAGCCAGGAUGGUCUCGAUCUCCUGACCUUGUGAUCCGCUCGCCUCGGCCUCUCAAAGUGCUGGGAUUACAGGACACAACCAGAGAUGGAAUCCACAGGACACAGAACAAAAGGUGUACCAGAGCCAGGCUGGCAGUGACACUCGACAGGCCAGCCCAGCAGGUAGCCCUGCAGCUCCUGCAGGUCAAUCUCGGCCAGUGCAGGCCCAGUCACCACAAACAUGCGGAGCAUGUUGUAGAUACGAUCCAGUGAGAGGCUCUCCAGGUUGGUCAGCAUGGCCUGGAUGUACGUCCAGAAGAGCUGCGGACACAGGCCAGCCCCCGUCAGGCACCUGCAG
rnacentral:lncRNA from 10 species